rnacentral:rRNA from 1 species
AAAUUGAAGAGUUUGAUCAUGGCUCAGAUUGAACGCUGGCGGCAGGCCUAACACAUGCAAGUCGGGCGGUAGCACAGAAGAGCUUGCUCUUUGGGUGACGAGCGGCGGACGGGUGAGUAAUGUCUGGGAAACUGCCUGAUGGAGGGGGAUAACUACUGGAAACGGUAGCUAAUACCGCAUAACCUCGCAAGAGCAAAGAGGGGGACCUUCGGGCCUCUCGCCAUCAGAUGUGCCCAGAUGGGAUUAGCUAGUAGGUGAGGUAAUGGCUCACCUAGGCGACGAUCCCUAGCUGGUCUGAGAGGAUGACCAGCCACACUGGAACUGAGACACGGUCCAGACUCCUACGGGAGGCAGCAGUGGGGAAUAUUGCACAAUGGGCGCAAGCCUGAUGCAGCCAUGCCGCGUGUGUGAAGAAGGCCUUCGGGUUGUAAAGCACUUUCAGCGGGGAGGAAGGCGGUAAGGUUAAUAACCUUAUCGAUUGACGUUACCCGCAGAAGAAGCACCGGCUAACUCCGUGCCAGCAGCCGCGGUAAUACGGAGGGUGCAAGCGUUAAUCGGAAUGACUGGGCGUAAAGCGCACGCAGGCGGUCUGUUAAGUUGGAUGUGAAAUCCCCGGGCUUAACCUGGGAACUGCAUUCAAAACUGACAGGCUAGAGUCUUGUAGAGGGGGGUAGAAUUCCAGGUGUAGCGGUGAAAUGCGUAGAGAUCUGGAGGAAUACCGGUGGCGAAGGCGGCCCCCUGGACAAAGACUGACGCUCAGGUGCGAAAGCGUGGGGAGCAAACAGGAUUAGAUACCCUGGUAGUCCACGCUGUAAACGAUGUCGAUUUGGAGGUUGUGCCCUUGAGGCGUGGCUUCCGGAGCUAACGCGUUAAAUCGACCGCCUGGGGAGUACGGCCGCAAGGUUAAAACUCAAAUGAAUUGACGGGGGCCCGCACAAGCGGUGGAGCAUGUGGUUUAAUUCGAUGCAACGCGAAGAACCUUACCUACUCUUGACAUCCAGAGAACUUAGCAGAGAUGCUUUGGUGCCUUCGGGAACUCUGAGACAGGUGCUGCAUGGCUGUCGUCAGCUCGUGUUGUGAAAUGUUGGGUUAAGUCCCGCAACGAGCGCAACCCUUAUCCUUUGUUGCCAGCGAUUCGGUCGGGAACUCAAAGGAGACUGCCGGUGAUAAACCGGAGGAAGGUGGGGAUGACGUCAAGUCAUCAUGGCCCUUACGAGUAGGGCUACACACGUGCUACAAUGGCGUAUACAAAGAGAAGCGACCUCGCGAGAGCAAGCGGACCUCAUAAAGUACGUCGUAGUCCGGAUUGGAGUCUGCAACUCGACUCCAUGAAGUCGGAAUCGCUAGUAAUCGUAGAUCAGAAUGCUACGGUGAAUACGUUCCCGGGCCUUGUACACACCGCCCGUCACACCAUGGGAGUGGGUUGCAAAAGAAGUAGGUAGCUUAACCUUCGGGAGGGCGCUUACCACUUUGUGAUUCAUGACUGGGGUGAAGUCGUAACAAGGUAACCGUAGGGGAACCUGCGGUUGGAUCACCUCCUUA